UGCAUUUGCAUAUGGGCUAUCCAACAUUGAAAGAUCAGCUUCAUCUGGGAAAUUGAUCAGGACUCUCAUUUGCACUUCUCUCAAUCUGAGAGCAAACUCCAUUGCCGCAUUCAUUGCAGCCCUAGCACCAGCCAAUGCAUCUCCGAGUUCUUGAUUGAUCAAAUAGUAUGAGCUUAUUUGACCUACUUCAAGGUCGGCAAGAGGAGAAAGAACGACGCAGAGAAGCCAGCAAUGGCAGAAAUAAGAUGGCUAUAGCCCAUGAACAAAGCUUUUCUUCGUGUCUAUGCAUCAGGAGAACAAAUUUACAAAAGAAUAUAUUGAAAUGCUUUUCUUCGUGUCUAUGCAUCUAUGGUGCUCAAAUGAUUCCUUGCUUUCAUCGAGGGACAUCACUUUUGUUUAAUGCACUCCUUUUGUAUUGUACCAGAUGCAACAUGUGACGUUGCUUUACGAAAUACAACUCCCUUUUUCACAUCAUGGAGCUGAGUUUUUUUAUUUUUCUUUGUCAUGAAACAAUGUUUCUGAGAUUUUUCCCUGUAAUUUUCUUAUGGAAAGACACCGCUAUUAAACAGUA